rnacentral:rRNA from 1 species
AAGGCUAAAUACUCCUGACUGACCGAUAGUGAACCAGUACCGUGAGGGAAAGGCGAAAAGAACCCCGGCGAGGGGAGUGAAAAAGAACCUGAAACCGUGUACGUACAAGCAGUGGGAGCACGCUUAGGCGUGUGACUGCGUACCUUUUGUAUAAUGGGUCAGCGACUUAUAUUCUGUAGCAAGGUUAACCGAAUAGGGGAGCCGAAGGGAAACCGAGUCUUAACUGGGCGUUAAGUUGCAGGGUAUAGACCCGAAACCCGGUGAUCUAGCCAUGGGCAGGUUGAAGGUUGGGUAACACUAACUGGAGGACCGAACCGACUAAUGUUGAAAAAUUAGCGGAUGACUUGUGGCUGGGGGUGAAAGGCCAAUCAAACCGGGAGAUAGCUGGUUCUCCCCGAAAGCUAUUUAGGUAGCGCCUCGUGAAUUCAUCUCCGGGGGUAGAGCACUGUUUCGGCAAGGGGGUCAUCCCGACUUACCGA